UAUUUGCAUUUUUAUUUGAGGGAGAAACUUUUCCUUCUUGUUUCAAUGUAAUAAACCAUAUUUAAUCAUUUGUACUUUGCUUGAAGUUUUCUCUUAUGCCAAAGAAGACAAGUACCUCCAAAGUUUGAAGGCUUCUACCAAGGUUAUUGCUGCCACCCUAGGGUGUGCACAUAAUCAUGACAUAACUGGACCCAGUCCUUCUGGCUGAUCUAUAUAGAGGUUUGAGAAAUUGGAGAUAAACUGUCGACAUGAUUACGAUUUUUUUCAAAGUUCUUUCAAACAUGGUAAUCCUCCUCCACGUUAUCAUUAUUAAAACAGAACAUUUCAUAA